UGAAUCCCACUGGCAUUUUGUAAGCUUGUGAGGGUACUAACUUGCCUUUGUGCUACCUCUUUUCAAACUUUUAUGCUCACUGAAAGAGCAAAUUCACCCUCCUUUUUCCCUGUCCUCAAUAUCUGUUUUCUAUGUCUACUCUACUUGUUUUCCAGAGGCCUCCACUUUUUAUCCUGGAGAUACGAAGGAAAUGCCACUGUCAAGAGAUUAAUUUUCUGUUCAUAGUCUUUGAUUCUAUCUUGCUUUUAUCCCUAGGGCUGGGGACAAUGGGCCAAGGCAUUGUGACUUCUCUGGUUAAGGCCAACAUACCUGUGGUAGCCCUGGAGCAGAAUCUGGAGUAUCUGAACAAGGGAAGAAAAGCUGUGAUGCUCCUUUUGGAACGGGAGGCUAUGAAAAUGGAGGAGGGUGCCCAGACCCUGGAUUUCCAUAACCCUGCACGUCUCCAGUUCACUGUGGACUUUGAUCUGAUGCGUGAUGUAGAUCUCGUCAUUGAGGCUGUGUUUGAGAACAUGGCACUAAAGAAGGAAAUAUUCCACAAGCUGUCAAAGAUCUGCAAGCCAGGAGCCUUGCUGUGCACAAACACAUCAGCCCUGAACAUUGAUGAAAUAGCUUCUGCCACGAGCCGCCCACAGCAGGUCAUUGGCACCCACUUCUUCUCCCCUGCCCACGUGAUGAGGCUGCUGGAAAUCAUCUAUGGCCGCCACACGUCCCCCACUGCCAUCGCCACUGCUAUGCAGCUGGCCAAAGCCCUGAAAAAAGUUGGAGUGGUGGUAGGGAACUGUUUUGGGUUUGUUGGGAAUCGCAUGAUGUUUCCGUAUGUACAGCAAGCAGUUUUCCUUUUAGAGGAAGGAAGCAAACCAGAAGCAGUAGAUCAGGUUCUUGAAGAUUUUGGGUUUAAGAUAGGCCCUUUCCGCAUGUCUGACCUUGCCGGGCUGGAUGUGGGCUGGAGGUCUCGGAAGGACCAGGGCCUGACUGGGCCGUCCCUCGCUGCAGGCACACCGGCCCGGCAGCGGCACGGCCAGCGCUACAGCCCCCUGCCAGACCUCCUGUGUGAGCAUGGCCGCUUCGGCCAGAAAACCGGCAAAGGCUGGUACCAGUACGAGAAGGCUGGGGGCAGGACAGCCACGCCAGACCCAUGGCUCCACAACUUCCUGUCCCAGUACAGAGACACCCAUAGCAUCAAGACCCGCUUUAUAGACCAGGAGGAAAUCCUGGAGCGGUGUCUGUUUUCCCUCAUCAACGAGGGGUUUGCCAUCCUGGCUGAGGGAAUAGCAUCAGGCCCAGAGCACCUGGAUGUCAUUUACAUCAAUGGCUACGGGUG